CUGCAGCAGAAGAGAAGUUGAAAGUUCGGAGAGCUAAAUGGUGUACUGGGUAUUCCUUCUGUGUGGGCGUUUAUGUCAUAUCUGUUCCUGGUUACAAUGUGGACAGCAUGCUCUCCAAAACAGUAUCUUCCCACAGAACUACAUGGUGUAACAAUCCAGAAAGCCACAAUCUUAAUAAUGCAACAGACUAUUGUAAAAUUCACGCAUUAUCUAC